rnacentral:rRNA from 1 species
UACAGAGGUCUCAAGCGUUGUUCGGAUUCAUUGGGCGUAAAGGGCGCGUAGGCGGUUUGAUAAGUCAGAUGUGAAAGCCCACAGCUUAACUGUGGAAGUGCAUUUGAUACUGUCAGACUUGAGUACCAGAGGGGAAAGUGGAAUUCCCGGUGUAGAGGUGAAAUUCGUAGAUAUCGGGAGGAAUACCGGUGGCGAAGGCGACUUUCUGGCUGGAUACUGACGCUGAGGCGCGAAAGCGUGGGGAGCAAACAGG